AUGAAGAAAGCUUUGUGCAGUUGUCAGCCUGAGAUUUAUGAUGUGCUAAUACUGCUGGCUUUGACCACCUGUGUUUAAUGAUGCAGGAUAAUCAGGCCUCCUCCAGUGGAUAAUUUUUGUAUUGAAUUAUACAAUUGAUGCUCCAAGUCCAGCAAGUGAGAAUCCUGUUUGAAGCAAAUGCAUAGA